rnacentral:lncRNA from 1 species
UAUUAUCCCUAUUUCACAGAUGGCAAAACUGAGGUCCAGAGACUUUAAGUGACCUACCCAAAAUUACAGUCAUGAGCAGAGGCACUGGAAUGUAGGGUCUUGACACUACCUCACGUGGUCCUCUUUCCUGUUUUGGGUAGUUCUCCACUACCACUACUCAUUUCUGAUGCUGGAAAGGCUGUGUUUUAUACAUUUCUGUUUCUGGCUUGGAACGAAACACUCUCUGGGUCUCUGCUUGAUCAGUGGCCCCUCUAAACUGCACCUCACUACAGCACGGAUGGCAUAAGAUACUUCUUUACACAGCGUCUUUUUGUUCCCACCUCACCCCCAGAGCUGUAAUAGGUAGAGCCAGCCAAAUGUCAAAGAGAUUAUUUGUCUUGUCACCACUAGUUUCCCUUUUCUCUGCCUUAUAUGUAACAGGAAUAUUCUUUAGUUCCCCCUUAUGUUCUAAAGCACCUCCCCAACCUAAAAUUAGAAAAGGAGUUGUGAGUCAUUUACACUUUAGUGUGAAUGUGCUCUUGUGACUUUGCCAAGGCUGUUGUGCCUAACCCUUUUAAUCUAACAGCAGAAUGAGAGUCUCUGGACUAUCCUGGCUCCUUCCCAGAGAAGAAUGAACUGGGAAUCAUUGGUCUAGACAUCAAGACUACCAGAGACCUAUUGCUCAGAGAUGUUUGGGCUGUACAAUUGCUGUAGAUAUGGCAUCUGGAGCAGCCUUUUCUAAGCAAUGGCAUUAUCAGUCCAGGCUCUCUCGCUCUUUCCAUCUCUCCACCAGGUGGACUCUUGCCCUCCACCCCUUCCAACUUGUCAGUGAUUCAGAGAACAUUCUCCAUCCUUCCAAUGAUUACAUUCCUUCAUCUUGCUGGGGCGCCAAUUCAGUGAUGGAGCGGCUCUUGGGAGCAGCCUUGGCUUAUAGUGCAGCUCUCUGCUACCUUCAACAGGCUGAUACUCGGGGAGCUUAGAUGUGACUGGUUGUACUGACGUGUGGGUAUGUGCAUGUGUGUAGAGCAGUAAGAGCCUUCCAGGUAGAUGCUUGAGGAAGCCUCAGACAUCUAGCCCCAUUACUGGGGCAAUGUCUUACUUGGGUUUUUCCAGAAACAGACCUGGAGACCGGGAUUCAAGUGCCAGUAGUAUAUUUGGGAUGUGACCCCUACAGUUCUGGUAGGAGAGUGGAGAAGUGAGGCAAGGAAAGGAAGGCCGUCAAGGGGCGUGUUAGGAGGGCAUUCACCGCGGGUAGCCCGUUGAGGACCUCUGGGAGCAAGUGUGGCGCACAAGCCUCAGCAUUACUGCCCUGUGCCUUGAGGAGUAAGGGAUGAGGAUUUUUCCCCACCAGUUCCCUGUAGUCCUUAGUGAGAGUUUCUGGGGUGGAGGUUAAGGUCUUUAGGUCAGAGAAAUUUUCUUUAGUUUCGGAAAAAUCUUUCAGGCCGAGGUCCAGACACUCACUGGAACACACUGAAGUUGUUAGGUCCAAGGGCUGUAGGCAGAGCUCCCAUAUCCAUCUGCAGAGGUGUUUCAGGUGGAAGGAGUGGAGACAGCCUUCUCUGCUCGACGCUGUCUUCAGCAAGGGCUUCUGUAUCUGUGCAUUGAGGAUUAAAUUAUUCACAUGGUCAGAGAAGCCCAUCACCACUGAUAGUUAUUGUAGGUAUGGAAAACUAACGACUAAGAAGGGAGAAAAAUAUACCAAGCAGUUAGCUUGGCUGAACACAAAGACUCUUACAGUCACUGGUGUGAACUGCUUAUUAUCAAUGUCUGAUUACAGUGCUGCAUACUAAUGAUUAUGCAUGUCAUUAAAUGUGUCAGAUUAACUUUGUUAUAAAAUUUAUGACAACAUUAAAUUUUAUUCACAUG